rnacentral:rRNA from 1 species
UACGAAGGGGGCUAGCGUUGUUCGGAAUUACUGGGCGUAAAGCGCAUGUAGGCGGCUUUCUAAGUCGGGGGUGAAAUCCCAGAGCUCAACUCUGGAACUGCCUUCGAUACUGGAAAGCUCGAGUGUGGAAGAGGUUGGUGGAACUGCAAGUGUAGAGGUGAAAUUCGUAGAUAUUUGCAAGAACACCAGUGGCGAAGGCGGCCAACUGGUCCAUUACUGACGCUGAGAUGCGAAAGCGUGGGGAGCAAACAGG